GACGAACGCUGGCGGCGUGCUUAACACAUGCAAGUCGAACGGAAAGGCCCUGCUUUUGUGGGGUGCUCGAGUGGCGAACGGGUGAGUAACACGUGAGUAACCUGCCCUUGACUUUGGGAUAACUUCAGGAAACUGGGGCUAAUACCGGAUAGGAGCUCCUGCUGCAUGGUGGGGGUUGGAAAGUUUCGGCGGUUGGGGAUGGACUCGCGGCUUAUCAGCUUGUUGGUGGGGUAGUGGCUUACCAAGGCUUUGACGGGUAGCCGGCCUGAGAGGGUGACCGGCCACAUUGGGACGGGGAUCCGGCCCAGACUCCUACGGGAGGCAGCAGUGGGGAAUAUUGCACAAUGGGCGGAAGCCUGAUGCAGCAACGCCGCGUGCGGGAUGACGGCCUUCGGGUUGUAAACCGCUUUCGCCUGUGACGAAGCGUGAGUGACGGUAAUGGGUAAAGAAGCACCGGCUAACUACGU
rnacentral:rRNA from 1 species